AUAUCUUUUAUUUUCCUUCUGAUUUGCUUGUAUUAUUUUCACUUUGUCUACAGUUUUACCUGCCACACAAUGUCUGUCUUCACCACAUAAUGAGAUCAAAUAGUCAUAGCUCUGGUCUGGAUUAAAUCCUAGAUCUUAAUCACAUUCAUCCAUUCAUGGACUUACAGAUCAUCUAAAUGAGGAACUCAGGGCACUCAGCAGACAAAUCCUUAGCAAGCCAAUACAGAUAUUUUUAAGUCCUACCUAAUGUCUGAAAAACUGAAUAUGGACACUGAAAAUGCAUCACCCACAAUGAAACUGUGCUACUUUGAGCUCUUGCACUGCAGAGAAGAGAGGUAUUAA
rnacentral:lncRNA from 1 species